rnacentral:tRNA from 1 species
GCGUCCGUAGCUCAGUUGGUUAGAGCACCACCUUGACAUGGUGGGGGUCGGUGGUUCGAGUCCACUCGCACGCACCA